rnacentral:lncRNA from 1 species
GGGAUAUGUGGAAAACAGGAGGUGCGGAGGAAGGGGGUUGGUUUGUUAAUAAUAUUAGUAGCAUUCUCGGCGACGGUUACAAUAUAGCUUUUUGGAAGGAAAAAUGGUUAGGAAUGGUACCGUUAAGUGAAUUGUAUCCAUCUUUGUUUCAAAAAUCAACUCAUAAAGAUGCUUGCAUUUCAAAUAUGGGGAUAUGGAAUAACAACAUGUGGUCUUGGAAACU